rnacentral:lncRNA from 1 species
AGGGCCUUGGUGAAGCUGGAAUGUUUCUAGGUUCUUCUGUGUUCUUCGCUAUUGCUGCUGCCGUGGCUGCCGCCCGCAAGGAGAGAGGCCUGCCCCUGAUUUUGGCCAUAAACAGCCCUGCCACAGCAGAAGUAAUUCGAAUGGCCUGUGAGGACCAGUUUACAAACCUGGUUCCAAAAACGGAUUCUAAAUGCUGUAAGCCAUGGUCCAUCCCAGUUGCCUGAUGCUUGGGGUUUGAGCACAAAAACAGAUAUCCUGAAGAACUUAAAGCUUCAAUGGGUCACUAGAAUAAACAACUUCAUCUAAAA